rnacentral:lncRNA from 1 species
UCCGUCAUCAGCCCCACCAUCACGUCCUUUAGCUCGCUCACAAACGCCAGCUGCUGCACAUACGCCGCGCCAGGUCGCGCGCUCAGCUCGGUCUCCACCGCCCGUAGCAGGUGGCUGAUGGUCGCACCCACGAGGUAGGUGUGCGAGGCGCCGCACAUGUAGCUGCGGCCGCCGUUCAUGCCCUGCAGCUGCAGCCACUCCAGCGCGGCAUCGCGUGUGGCGCACUCGCUCUUUAGGCUGUCCAGCAGCAUCACUGCGCCGGGCCAGCACGGCUGCUCCACCGCCUCCUCGCGCAGCUGCAUCAUGUCCCACUCGUAGGCGCGGCCGGCCGCCUCACCGCUCACCAGCGCCUCCCGGGCCCAGCCCACCCAGAACUCGGGCGGCGAGUAGAUGUCCGUAGCCAUGUAGGGCUCUACGGGCGCGGGCAAAAGAGACCGCGCCGACCACACCAGCGAGGCGGCGGCCUUGCCGGCGAUGCGCGCGCUGACAGCGUCGGUGCAGGAGGCGGCGGCAGCAGCCGCCGCAGCGUUGGCCGCGGUGUGUGCGGCACUCAGGUCGCUGAGGUAGCUGUGGCUGACACCGUCCACGUCGCUGAGCUUGAAGUUCCCUGCAUGGGUUUGAAAAGGAGCAAGUUGCGAGGUCUAUGUCAGGCGGCAGGCGAGGCGGGGCUGUCAGGUGCGUGACAGCGCGCCGUGCGGGCGCCUGGGCACAUAGAGCUGCACUCACAGCGUACGCCCGGGCGCCCCCCUGCCAGGUUAGCCAGCUGCUCACACUACUCACACCCUCCCAUUCACCGCAAACUGCUCCACGUACGCCCACUCGCUCUCAGACCGCACCUUCCGCGUCCACGAGCAUGUUCUGCGCCUUGAGGUCGCCAAAGCACAGGCCUGCCUUGUUGGCGGAGUCCACCAGGUUCACCAUCUGUGGAGGCAGGUGCGCGGGCGGCGGGGAGGACAGGGUGCACACAGGUCAGCAACGAAGCGGGCGGUGUGCACGACACAGAUUUACCAAGGCCUUCCCCAUCCCUUGACGGCCAGACCAUCCACGCUUCAGCAGCCCCGACGCAAGUGCACACCCGGGGCAAUACGGAACUACUGCUUUACGUCUUCUCUGCCCAGCCGGCCCGGCCGCCGCACACGCACCUGGCGCAUGGCGUCCAGCACCAUCUCGUACAUGUCACCCUCGGGCAGAGCCGGCGCCGUCAUGAUGUUCUUGAGGUAGUCGAACACGGUGCCGUUGUCCAUCCACUCCCUGAAGAGGUGGAGGCAAGGGAGGGCGGGGCAGGAGGUCGUGCGGUGCGGCACAGUAUUGGAGCCCGCAGGUGUGGACGUCUUGGUACCCAGCCACCGUACACCCGCUCCGCCCGCAGCCCGAACCGCCGCACUACUUGACAUGCACCGCUUCCAUCCCCUCGGCGGCGCAUUGCAAACUCACAUGUACAUGACAAACUCGUAUGUGCGGGGCGCCGGCUGCAGCACGUCCCAGCCAAACACCACGGGGAAGCAGCGGCCCAGCGCCUCCUCGCCGUGUACAAGCCGGAAGCGCCGCGCCACCGCAACCCACGACACCGCCUCCUGCAGCGCCGGCAGGAAGCCGACCGGCACGUCCGCCUCACCCGCCCCGCCCGCCGCCAGGGCCGCGUCCUCAGCCUCCGACAGCACCACCUUGACGCCCUUGCAAGCCAGAGGCAUGGCGCGGCCGGCGCCGUCCUGCAGAUCCACCUCCAUCUGGUACACGGUGCGGACGGCGGGGUCGCCCCCCGCCUGGCUGACCUCCACGCAGCCCAACACCUGCUCCUCCUCCCAGAUCCGCGGCGCGCCCAGGUCGGGGAUGUACUGCAUCACGGCCUGGCGCAGUGUGUCGCACGGGUCCACAGGGAGGGGCGAGGCAGCGGCUCCAUGCUCCAGCAGCGGGAGGGGAACAGGCGAGCAGUGCGGGAGCUGCGGCGGAGCCUUGCCGCCAGGCGGCGAGGGUGCGCUGAUGGCGUUGCCCUCGGGCUCGAGGAAGUCCAGGUCCAGGCGGCGGGGCGUGACACCGCCGGUGCGCGGCCCGCUGGCGCUCAGCUGCGCGCGGGGGCUGUUGAACGGCGCCUGGUCGCCGCCGGGUGAUGGCGUGGCCUUGGCCUCGGGCGACUGCUGGGGCUUGGCCAGCAGGUUGGCAGCCUGCACGUAGGAAAGUGUUGAAUGGUGAUUACGACUAUCGCUAGCCGGAAGUAGGGGCGGCUGACAGUCAGACUGUUUCGCACAUUACAUAGUACCACACUACUUAACUAUAACGGGUAGCUCUCUGGCUUAUACCCUCGCAUGGGUUCCGGGUCAGGUCCUUGCAUGGUGUAUCGCACACACACUCUCGGAACUCCCCUACGUUCUCCCUUAUGGAUAGUUCUGACCGAUAUCUCAACACUCCCCCGCGGGCAGAACUCCAUACUCAAAUUACGUAUCGCAAUAGCCUCCUACCUCAAAUCACGUGCUACAGACAAUUCCUUGCAUACCUCGUACGCUUGCCGCUUGUAGUCACUGUGCUACUGCAAUCGUCCCAUGUCCUCGUGUCCUCAAGAUCACGUCUUUCUCUUUCUCACUGCAUCGUCCAUAAUCAGCACAAAUCAAUACGGUCUUCUAUCGCAAUCAAUUCCAUCCGGAAAUCCAUACUCAAUCAUAUCUGCACGGCUCCCCCGUGUCCGAAUGCUCCCGCAUCCGCUGUACUUACGGCUUCACUUCACCGUACCUGCGGUUUCACACACCGCAUCAUGCCGCACUACCGGCAUCAUAGCUUCAAGUGCUUGAGAGCCAUACACAUAAGAUGAUCUUUUAACAUCAUAUGAUAAGAGCAUAACAGCAACUCUCAACCGCUGGCGUCUCGCGCAGUGAUCAGGUCUCACUCGCAGUGAUCAGACCUCACUCGCUGUGAUCAGGCCAUACCGCAGUAAUCAGGCCUCACGCGCCACAUAACAUACCUGUGCACCUCACUCGUGCAACAGUCGCAAAGCCAAUUCCGUUGCAUUUGCUCUCGUACAUCUCCAGGUGCUUAACUCACACCCCGUGCUUCACUUGCACGUCUCAUACUGGUGCUUCACUCACACCGCGUGUCAUACUCGCACGCAUAUCGUACUCACGAUGCCUUCCUUGCACCGACAUACUCACGAUGCUUUACUCACACCGACAGCCCAACGUGGCCGUUCACAUCACAUCGGAGCUAGCAUCAUAGUCUAUGCUCCACAUCAUAUCUUCUGCUCCUACGAACGCUACUAGGCGCGGACCCCCCGGCCGCGCCCCCGGCCGUUUCCCUGGUCCACGUUCACCGCCCACAUGCGCCGGUCACCGCCGUCCCGGCCAACGUGUGCACCGCGCCCCCGGUUGCCACCGCCGCCCUCAGCGGCCUGCUCUGGGCACUCGUACUUGUAGUGUCCCCAGCCCUGGCACCUGUGGCACUGGAUGUUCUCCUUGUUGCGCACACCGCGCCCUCCGCGGCCACCACGGCCGCCUCCCACGCCGCGCACAAAGUGAAUUGACGGCUCGCCACUGCUGCUGCUACCGCGCACGCUGGUCAGGGUGUUCUGGAACCGCGUGAGCCUCGACUCCGCGUCCGGCACGCUCCACCUGCCAGUGCUCGUGUAGAACUCCUCUGCAAUGGCCACAACGCUGGCAUACUCCUGCGGCAGAGCAUUGAAUGCUGCCGACACGACGAGCCUGUCGCGGUCGCCGUUGGUGUAGCCCGGGCAUCCCGACCAACACAGCCUCUCCACCAUGUCAGCAAUGCGCUGGAUGAGCUCGCUAAUCUGCUCGCUCCCUCCCAGCCUGACGCUGCCCAGGUCGGCUGCCCACUGACGGUGAUUUCCAGCCGCCAGCUUCUUGUAGUAUGCCAUCAGCGCUUGCACAAGGCGCUUCGCCUCGUUCUGCUUGGCAGUAGGGUUGGCCUUCUUCUCCGCUUCCAGGGUCUCUAGCAGCUCCUCAUAGAUGAAGUGGUCGGACAGCCUCACAUGGCUCAGGAUAAGGGCGACCGCCUUCUGCUGCUUCGCCUCCGGCGCGUCGUCGUCACGGAUAGCCGGACCCAGCUCCUUCCAGUUAAGAUAAAUCCUUAACUUGGAGAGCCAAAUGUGGGCCGUGCUUUGCUCGAGCAUAAUCGGCUUUCCACAGACUCCGCCCUCAUCGUUCAUUUGCGCUCACUGGCCUACAGCCUAUCGGUUAUCUUGUCUUUACUCGACAAAGCGCAACCCGCCGCAACUACGCGGGGCUCAUAACCUGUUGAAUGGUGAUUACGACUAUCGCUAGCCGGAAGUAGGGGCGGCUGACAGUCAGACUGUUUCGCACAUUACAUAGUACCACACUACUUAACUAUAACGGGUAGCUCUCUGGCUUAUACCCUCGCAUGGGUUCCGGGUCAGGUCCUUGCAUGGUGUAUCGCACACACACUCUCGGAACUCCCCUACGUUCUCCCUUAUAGAUAGUUCUGACCGAUAUCUCAACAGAAAGUAAGGGGGCGGGCAGGUAGGAGCAAGGAUGGGCUAUGCUCAGUAAAGAUGCGGACUGAAGGGUGUAUGAUGCAGCCCGUGCGCUUUGGCGAGCUUGCCCGAACCAGCGCGACUCGCUCGUCCAACGUCCGCGCGAGGCUGAGUUAGGCAUCUCUAAGGACUGACCCGCAUGUCAGCCCGGCCCAGGCCGGAACGUAAACAAGCCGACUAAAGAUGCAUGAUGCGAUCAUGAACAGAUACAGUAAUGCACAGGAGUGAUGCAGGUAAUAAUGCAGGUACUGACCCCGUUGGCACUUCCGAUGCGCAACGCGCGGCCAUCGAAGUGGGCCGGCGUUGACGCAACCGAAGCACCGAUGGCCUCGCAAUGUGCGCAGGACUCACUGGACGCACCAAAGGACAAGGGGCACAUGGAACACGACGAGACAGGAGGGACUCGGCGGCCGGGCCAUUUGGGACCACGAAAUGUCACGGAGCCCGAAACACUUCGACACUUUCGUAAACCGGUCUCGGAGACUCGGCCACAAUGUGCUCACGCGUUUACCACAAGAAGAGCCCAACGUCAACGCGCUGACCAGCCCGAAAAAUGCGCCCCACAACGCCUGGCCCCGAGCCGGCUCACCUGCGCAGCGCGCCCGUGUUCCAAAGCUCCGUGCCAACUGGGCACAUUUUCUUGCUUGGCUGGACUAGGAGUAAGAGUUCAGAGCCGCGAAAUGGAAGAGGUGCUCGAAGUGGCAAGGUCUCUCGCAACAGGGGCACCCGCAACAGAAGAGGCGCUGGUUUAGACCAAUCAAGGUGAGGAUUACUAGUUCUCAAGUGCUAGCUUGGUGUUUUGUGACUGGGGCCGGCUCAGAGGCCGGCUUUCUUUCCGGUUCUUGCUGCCCCAUCUUGGCCUGGCCCAUUUCCUGAAUGUUUCCCUGGCCAGAACUUUGCCCAAGCCCACAGCUCUGUUAACAUGCACCUGCCGGCAUUUGUGUGGGCGUGGUGCGCUGCUCUCAGACUCACGGAUAAGGCCCAACUUCUGGUUCCGACUAUUGCGGACAAUUGGCCGCCCUUCUCGGCGCCAAAGUGAGCCCAGGCGUGCACCUAGAAUAGCUAAAGCUCAGGCAGGCCCCGGCCCGGCGCGGGGACGUGGUUUUGGGGCCCUACCUAAGCGCAAGCAAGUCCGCGUGCUAGCUUUGAUGCGUUGCGCGCACCAAGCCCGGGCAGGGUUCCCUGCCUCACCGUAGCUGAUGUCCUAGGUGCUAGCUCCACCAGCGGGGCGCUCGCUGAACCAUGGGCAGCGCUCUUGCUGCUUCGCCUUCGCUAACAUGCGCAAGAGUGACCGAGCUGCACUUGCUCCGGGCUGGCGCCAGCCGCCUGGCUCACAUACGGGGAUCCUUACGGGCCGAUCGCAUGUUCUCGACUGUAUGCUGGUAAUCUGGGCCAGUCAUUUGGGGGUGCCGGCCCAGGGCCGGGCGCAGCUGAAAAGCCAUCGGUGCUUUCCGCCGCGGCCCUUGGCGACCGCCUUGAGUCGUUGUGUAGAUUGAAUGAUGUCAGAUGUUCAAGAUGCGGUGGCUUGCAAAGGGCCAGCGCGUCGGGACGUGAACCGAGUUUUGGGAGCAAUGACAGGUGUGUGAGGUCUGUGCGGUCCCUCGUUCUUGUGAAAGUACAGUAUCAAGUAUACUAUGGCGCGACACAGCAAAAGCGUAAACCUGACAAGCAGCCUCGCGCAGCACGCCCGUGGAUUGUAACCCGUCGCCCUUGCCCCGCCCUUUCAUCCGCGAUUCCCCGCGACCUGGGAUCCCAGUUCUACUUGCCCGCUGUCCAUCCGCCUCUGGCAAACUGCGGGUAGAAAACCCACAUCGGUCCAAGCAAUGCCGAUGGUAUGUGGCCAUAACAAAGAGAUGAUAGGAUUUGCAUUGCACUCGCAAGCGGUCAGAUGUCCAAACUUCACGCGCCCGCACUGCACCAACGCCAUAACCCGCCUACAUGCAUGCCCUCCAUACCAAGCAGCCUGUGCCACCCAAACAUAGGAGGCGCGCCCUUUGACCCGUACCUCUGAAGGCACCUCUGAACGCACCUCUGAAGGCACGCGCAGACGCGGUGCGCUUACUUGGCCACACAGCCAAGCCGUCAGCGCGCAGCAGCAGCCACAUCCGGGCCGUGCCAGCCGGCAACGCCAGCCCUGCCGCCGCGAGGGCAUCCCCUGGACCGCCGCCUCCGCCACCUCCACCUCCUCCAUGCCCAAGACCUGCUGCCCCUCCAUCACCGCCUGCUCCUCCUGCGGCUCCGGCCCCAGCUUGAUCAGCCUGGCGGUGACGGUGAUGCUGGUGGUGCUGGUGCUGGUGCGGGUGAGGUGCCUGCGGCGGCGCCCACACGUCCACCACUACCACAACAGUAGCCGGCAGCCGCGAUGCGGUGCGGGGAGCGACGGCAGUGGCGGAGGCGGCGGUGCCAGGGGCACAGGGACAACAGCGGGUCCCCUGCUGGGCCCCCUGUGUGGGCCGCUGCUGCUGUCCGGCCCGGCGGCAGGGGCGGGCAGCUGAGCGGCAGAGCAGCCUGCAGCACCAGCUCCAGCACCUCGGUUGGCAGCAGCCGCACAGGGUUGGCCAUGCAGCUCAUGCCUGUAGAGUUAUAGGUGGGUACACGACAGCUGAGAGUACGACCCCAAAAUUUGAUGCCAACAGGUAGACAGGGUAGUGGUCACAGGGCGUGUUCACACAGGCGGCAGCCAGCCCGAGCCGCUCGUAUCCCCAGCCCGCCUGACACCCGCCUUCUAUCCAUCUUUCUACGCCUCAACAUUCAAACCACACUCACCCGGGCACCGCCAUCUGCCGCGCCCGCACCGGACCUGGGUCCGCCGCUGCCAGCUGCAGUCGGUCCAUCGCCGCCGCCGCCACCAACCCCAACGGCCAGGACAGCGCCAACUCGCGCCGCAGCGGUGGACAGCGCUGCCAGCUGCUUCCCGCUGGGGUCGAAGCGGAGGAAGGCGGCGGCAGCCCGGCGGCGGACGAGGGCUGGCAGCUGCGGAGGUGGUGGUGCCGAGGGCUGCGAGGUGGCGGUCCAGUUCUGAGAGCCCGGCGGCUGCGGGCCGGCUGACGCCUCCAGCGCGGGGCCGAGGGCCGCCGGGGUCGGGGAAGCCGAAGGGUGCGGGGCCGCCGACGCCUCCUCUACCUCCACCACCUCGCCCGCUGGCUCCCGGCUGCCGCCCCUUUCCGCCCACCACGGCAGCUGCCGCAAUCUUGGCCGCGCCUCCAUCACCCCUUCAGGAUCCAGAGCUAGGUCAUGGAGCUGCUGCUGCGCCACCGCCGCCGCCACCGGAUCACGGCCCUGGUAGUGUGCGGGCGGCGCCGGCUCGAACACCGACAUGACCAGGUAGCCCGGCUCGCCGUGAGGCGCCACGCAGGCCACUUGGCAGCGGUUGCAGAUGCCUGGGGAGCAAAGGACGCGGGUGCAGCGCAGUGCACAAGGAUGCGUGGAGCACCGCGGAGCAGUGGGGGGCCGGAGCAGCUUGGCCACUCACCCACCAGGUUGCCCGCCGCACACGCCGGCUGGGACCCAGCAUUCGCAGACCUGCUAAACGCAGCAGCAGCCACAUUGCUGCUUGGCGCGUGCAGCUAUUCGUUGAAGCCCUGCAUCUCCGCUACCGAAAUGUGCUGUAUUGCGCCUGUGCCCAUUUGGUUUGGUUUAAUAACCUAAGGAUAUGGGAACAUGCAUAGAUACGCCUAUUUGUUUGCAGAAUUGCGAAAGGUCAGAACCAGCUGGAGCGAUAAACGCCGCGAAAGGAGAUAGACGCUCAGAAACGAGUGAAGUGGCCGAGUGCUACUGUCUAGGUACAUAUACGGAGUGACUUAUAUCGAUGGCAGCUAUCAAGGCAUGAGCGGUGGCGUUGAACGGUAACCAACUCGCUCGGGAGGGUCGCGUGUCAGGCGUGCCGUGGAAUUGGGUGGCGACACCCAAACGGAUGGUGGUGGAACUAAGCGGCAUCAUGGAGGCCAGUCAUUUUGACCUGGCUUAGGGUGUGCGGUUAUCGGCUCAGGACCAGGGGGUGGAUGGAGCUUGAGCACCACAUGCCAAUGCCCCAGUGCAGGAGCGCCUGUAUAGCAACAGACCUUGUGCCCAGUGCCUUGACAUGAACAAGCCGAUGAACGUGUGCUGGAUUAGGAUUACAGUGCAUUACUCCGCCUGUUCAACAUACUACAGGACUCGGGAGUUCCCGGGCCCGGCCGCCAGGCCCUGCUCAUACCAGCUCAUACUCCCCUUCCUUGCUUACCCUGGCUUACCGGUAAGUUCCUUCCCUCCUCAACGCUUCGCCUCCUCAAACCAGCCGUGCCUACUUCAUAGCUGACCCAUUCAGGGUUGCCUAGUACGCGACCCUCUCUCCAUAAUAAGCGUAUUAAUACAGCGUACUAGGACGGUGCAUAAUACGCUGGGCCAGGAAAUCCGGGGGGAAAGCCGACGCAAACACGGCACGCGUGCCCGCACCAUGCCCGAAUCGGUGUGAAUUUGGAUUUGCGCGGCCAUAGUCUUCUAGCGGAAUUUCCUUCAACUUAUUAUACUCAUAUUGUUAUAAGAAAACACAGCUGCAGUGCGUAGAGAAGCCAUGGUUCGCGAACUUCGACGGACAUCCUUUCCAGCACCCCUCGCGCCCCUCGCCCCACUGCCACGGCCCACCCCGCUGGUUUCCCCAGCACAACGUAUUUUCCGGUUUUAUUGAAUCAAUCAAUCAGUCUAAAACGCUAGUGCUCAUGAUCAAUCAAUCAGUCUUGUCAGCCUUGACAAAGGGAAGCUGCUACAUGGUUCUCUAGUCCUUGUCCUAACACGCCUAGCUACGUACACGUUCACUACCGGAUGAUGCGCUCUUGCAUCCGCCCUGUACGCCGUCCGUAUCGGCGCCCGCGAUACCGUACUAUUUAUGUCUCCCCGCGCUGGCAUCCCACCUGCCGUGUACCGUCACUGUACCUGCCCCCGCACUCGCACGCCACCGCCACAAGCAACACGGCCCGCCCAGGCUACAACAAUCCUCCCAUCCCUGCUCCCUGCCGACUACUGCUCGUACGCGGUGAAGCGCGCGCGUGUCCGCUUCCUGGCAUCCAUGAUGCCAGGUAAGCCCCUACCUGCCCCUCCCGCUCUUCAGCCCCAGUAGCACCAGCCGCCGCGCAUCUCUGCCAGCCGGCGCCGCAGCCGCUGCAGCAGGUGGGCCGGCUGGCGGGCUCCUCCGUCAUCAGCCCCACCAUCACGUCCUCCAGCUCGCUCACAAACGCCAGCUGCUGCACAUACGCCACGCCAGGCCGCGCGCUCAGCUCGGUCUCCACCGCCCGCAGCAGGUGGCUGAUGGUCGCACCCAGGAGGUAGGUGUGCGAGGCGCCGCACAUGUAGCUGCGGCCGCCGUUCAUGCCCUGCAGCUGCAGCCACUCCAGCGCG